rnacentral:misc_RNA from 1 species
GCUAAAGUAAUCAAACUGUCACAACACCAAAAGGUAAGAACUUCAAGAGACUGAAGAGCUUGGUCCAGCUGCGAGUCAUGGUUCCACAUAUCCGUCAAAGCAGGAAGAUUACCCAUCUAUAAGUGCCAUAUCAUGUUUUAAAAAAAAUUACAGAAUCGACUCAUUAUCAAGAAUUUUUAUUUUCAAUGUAUGCAAUCAUAUAAUCAUCUAGUAAAAUUGAUAUUUAAUUUGGCUCCAAAAUCAAUUUUGUUAUUAUGAACAUAUUGUAACUUAAUUCUAAAUAAAUUUAUUCUUUAAACUUAAUUAAUUCUAUACAAUAAGUUUAU